rnacentral:rRNA from 1 species
UACGUAGGGGGCAAGCGUUGUCCGGAAUCAUUGGGCGUAAAGCGCGUGUAGGCGGCCCGAUAAGUCCGCUGUGAAAGUCCAGGGCUCAACCCUGGGAUGCCGGUGGAUACUGUCGGGCUCGAGUCCGGAAGAGGAGUGUGGAAUUCCUGGUGUAGCGGUGAAAUGCGCAGAUAUCAGGAGGAACACCAAUGGCGAAGGCAGCACUCUGGGACGUGACCGACGCUGAGACGCGAAAGCGUGGGGAGCAAACAGG